rnacentral:tRNA from 1 species
UCCCUGGUGGCUCAGAUGGUAAAGCAUCUGCCUGCAAUGCAGGAGACCCAGGUUCGAUCCCUGGGCCUGGAA